CGGGGCGUAGCGAAGCUUGGUAUCGCGCACGGUUCGGGUCCGUGAGAUCGCAAGUUCAAAUCUUGCCGCCCCGA
rfam:Omnitrophica bacterium RIFCSPHIGHO2_02_FTLL_49_9 rifcsphigho2_02_scaffold_42240, whole genome shotgun sequence.